rnacentral:rRNA from 1 species
GUUGUAUAGUCAAGUAAUUAAGUGCAUGUGGUGGAUGCCUUGGCAGUCAGAGGCGAUGAAAGACGUGAUAGCCUGCGAAAAGCUCCGGGGAGGCGGCAAAUAUCCUUUGAUCCGGAGAUGUCUGAAUGGGGGAACCCACCUACUUUAAGGUAGGUAUUGCAACAUGAAUACAUAGUGUUGCAAGGCGAACGAGGGGAAGUGAAACAUCUCAGUACCCUUAGGAAAAGAAAUCAAUUGAGAUUCCCUCAGUAGCGGCGAGCGAACGGGGAUCAGCCCAUUAAGUUAUGUGUGUUUUAGUGGAACGCUCUGGGAAGUGCGAACGUAGAGGGUGAUAUUCCCGUACACGAAAGGGCACACAUAAUGAUGACGAGUAGGGCGAGGCACGUGAAACCUUGUCUGAAUAUGGGGGGACCAUCCUCCAAGGCUAAAUACUCCUGACUGACCGAUAGUGAACCAGUACCGUGAGGGAAAGGCGAAAAGAACCCCUGUGAGGGGAGUGAAAUAGAUCCUGAAACCGCAUGCAUACAAGCAGUGGGAGCACCUUCGUGGUGUGACUGCGUACCUUUUGUAUAAUGGGUCAGCGACUUAUAUUCAGUAGCAAGGUUAACCGUAUAGGGGAGCCGUAGAGAAAUCGAGUCUUAAUAGGGCGUUUAGUUGCUGGGUAUAGACCCGAAACCAGGCGAUCUAUCCAUGAGCAGGUUGAAGGUUGGGUAACACUAACUGGAGGACCGAACCCACUGUCGUUGAAAAGCCAGGGGAUGACUUGUGGAUAGGGGUGAAAGGCUAAUCAAGCCUGGUGAUAGCUGGUUCUCCCCGAAAGCUAUUUAGGUAGCGCCUCGGACGAAUACCAUAGGGGGUAGAGCACUGUUUCGGCUAGGGGGUCAUCCCGACUUACCAAACCGAUGCAAACUCCGAAUACCUAUGAGUACUAUCCGGGAGACAGACUGCGGGUGCUAACGUCCGUAGUCAAGAGGAAAACAAUCCAGACCGCCAGCUAAGGCCCCAAAAUCAUAGUUAAGUGGGAAACGAUGUGGGAAGGCAUAGACAGCUAGGAGGUUGGCUUAGAAGCAGCCACCCUUUAAAGAAAGCGUAAUAGCUCACUAGUCGAGUCGGCCUGCGCGGAAGAUGUAACGGGGCUAAAACUAUGUGCCGAAGCUGCGGAUNNNNNNNNNNNNNNNNNNNNNNNNNNNNNNNNNNNNNNNNNNNNNNNNNNNNNNNNNNNNNNNNNAUGCUGGAGGUAUCAGAAGUGCGAAUGCUGACGUGAGUAACGACAAAACGGGUGAAAAACCCGUUCGCCGAAAGACCAAGGGUUCCAGUCCAACGUUAAUCGGGGCUGGGUGAGUCGACCCCUAAGGCGAGGCCGAAAGGCGUAGUCGAUGGGAAAAUGGUUAAUAUUCCAUUACUUCUGUGUAAUGCGAUGAGAGGACGGAGAAGGCUAAAUCAGCCUGGCGUUGGUUGUCCAGGUGAAAGGAUGUAGGCAUGUAUCUUAGGCAAAUCCGGGGUACUCUAUGCUGAGAUCUGAUAGCAAGCUGUACUUGUACAGCGAAGUGGUUGAUGCCAUGCUUCCAGGAAAAGUCUCUAAGCUUCAGUUACACAGGAAUCGUACCCGAAACCGACACAGGUGGUCAGGUCGAGUAGACCAAGGCGCUUGAGAGAACUCUGCUGAAGGAACUAGGCAAAAUGGUACCGUAACUUCGGGAGAAGGUACGCUGUUGUUGGUGAUGGAACUCGCUUCCUGAGCUGACGACAGCCGCAGAAACCAGGCCGCUGCAACUGUUUAUUAAAAACAUAGCACUCUGCAAACACGAAAGUGGACGUAUAGGGUGUGAUGCCUGCCCGGUGCUGGAAGGUUAAUUGAUGGGGUUAGCGUAAGCGAAGCUCUUGAUCGAAGCCCCAGUAAACGGCGGCCGUAACUAUAACGGUCCUAAGGUAGCGAAAUUCCUUGUCGGGUAAGUUCCGACCUGCACGAAUGGCAUAAUGAUGGCGGCGCUGUCUCCAGCAGAGGCUCAGUGAAAUCGAAAUCGCUGUGAAGAUGCAGUGUACCCGCGGCUAGACGGAAAGACCCCGUGAACCUUUACUGCAGCUUGACACUGAACUUUGACCUUACUUGUGUAGGAUAGGUGGGAGGCUUUGAAGCUGGAACGCUAGUUCCAGUGGAGCCGUCCUUGAAAUACCACCCUGGUAAUGUUGAGGUUCUAACUCUGUCCCGUGAUCCGGGACGAGGACCGUGUCUGGUGGGUAGUUUGACUGGGGCGGUCUCCUCCUAAAGAGUAACGGAGGAGUACGAAGGUGCGCUCAGCGUGGUCGGAAAUCACGCGUAGAGUAUAAAGGCAAAAGCGCGCUUAACUGCGAGACCCACAAGUCGAGCAGGUACGAAAGUAGGUCUUAGUGAUCCGGUGGUUCUGUAUGGAAGGGCCAUCGCUCAACGGAUAAAAGGUACUCUGGGGAUAACAGGCUGAUACCGCCCAAGAGUUCAUAUCGACGGCGGUGUUUGGCACCUCGAUGUCGGCUCAUCUCAUCCUGGGGCUGAAGCAGGUCCCAAGGGUAUGGCUGUUCGCCAUUUAAAGAGGUACGCGAGCUGGGUUUAGAACGUCGUGAGACAGUUCGGUCCCUAUCUACCGUGGGCGCUGGAAAUUUGAGAGGAUCUGCUCCUAGUACGAGAGGACCAGAGUGGACGAACCUCUGGUGUACCGGUUGUGACGCCAGUCGCAUCGCCGGGUAGCUAUGUUCGGAAGGGAUAACCGCUGAAAGCAUCUAAGCGGGAAGCCUACCUCAAGAUAAGAUUUCCCUAGGACUUUAUGUCCUCUAAAGAGCCGUUCGAGACUAGGACGUUGAUAGGUUGGAUGUGGAAGCAUAGUGAUAUGUGAAGCUGACCAAUACUAAUUGCUCGUGAGGCUUGACUAUACAACACCCAAGCAGUUG